GACGAACGCUGGCGGCGCGCUUAGCACAUGCAAGUCGAACGGUAAGGCCCUUCGGGGUACACGAGUGGCGAACGGGUGAGUAACACGUGGGUGAUCUGCCCUGCACUUCGGGAUAAGCCUGGGAAACUGGGUCUAAUACCGGAUAGGACCACUGCCUGCAUGGGUGGUGGUGGAAAGCUUUUGCGGUGUGGGAUGGGCCCGCGGCCUAUCAGCUUGUUGGUGGGGUGAUGGCCUACCAAGGCGACGACGGGUAGCCGGCCUGAGAGGGUGACCGGCCACACUGGGACUGAGAUACGGCCCAGACUCCUACGGGAGGCAGCAGUGGGGAAUAUUGCACAAUGGGCGCAAGCCUGACGCAGCGACGCCGCGUGAGGGAUGACGGCCUUCGGGUUGUAAACCUCUUUCAGCACCGACGAAGCGCAAGUGACGGUAGGUGCAGAAGAAGGACCGGCCAACUACGUGCCAGCAGCCGCGGUAA
rnacentral:rRNA from 1 species